GGGCCCGCACAAGCGGUGGAGUAUGUGGUUUAAUUCGAUGCAACGCGAAGAACCUUACCAGGGUUUGACAUCCUGCGAAUCUCUUGGAAACGAGAGAGUGCCUUCGGGAACGCAGUGACAGGUGGUGCAUGGCUGUCGUCAGCUCGUGUCGUGAGAUGUUGGGUUAAGUCCCGCAACGAGCGCAACCCACGUCUUUAGUUGCCAGCAUUUAGUUGGGCACUCUAGAGAGACUGCCGGUGAUAAACCGGAGGAAGGUGUGGAUGACGUCAAGUCAUCAUGCCCCUUACAUCCUGGGCUACACACGUACUACAAUGGCCGGUACAGAGAGCAGCCACUACGCGAGUAGGAGCG
rnacentral:rRNA from 1 species